GACGAACGCUGGCGGCGUGCCUAAUACAUGCAAGUAGAACGCAGAUGCGAACGGGUGAGUAACGCGCAGGUAACUGCCUGGUAGCGGGGGAUAACAAAUGGAAACGCUAGCUAAUACCGCAUACUACCAGAUGGACCUGCGGUGUAUUAGCUAGUUGGUGCGGUAACGGCCAACCCAGGCAACGAUACAUAGCUGACCUGAAGGGGUGAUCGGCCACACUGGGACUGGGACACGGCCCAGACUCCUACGGGAGGCAGCAGUAGGGAAUCUUCGGCAAUGGGGGGAACGCGUACCGAACAAAGGCGCGGGAGUGAAGGAGGUUUUCGGAUCGUAAAGCUCUGUUGUUAAGGGAGCGGUACUUAACCAGAAAGGGACGGCUAACUACGUGCCAGCAGCCGCGGUAAUUC
rnacentral:rRNA from 1 species